rnacentral:snRNA from 1 species
CUCUUUGCACAGUGGCCCUAUCAUAAUCAAUGAGGUUCACCUGAGGCCCGAUUAUUGCUAAUUGAAAACUUCCAAUGCCACAAGAUAACUUGCAAUAGAGCUGGCACUGACCG